UGCUCUCUCUCUCUCCUCUCUCCUCCAAAACUUUUUCGGAAAAUAUUUCUUUCCCGCGUGGGCGCCAUUUUUUCCCGCAUUGUUGACUCUGUCCUUGAAUGUUGAUAUUUUAGCCCCAAAAUUAUAUUAAAAAACUUAAAGCAAUCAGCUUUACCUUUCCAGAUGACUUUUCAAUCUCCCUAAACUACAUCCCUCUUUUCUCAUCUAUUUUUCCAUCUACCCAUAUUCAGAGACGGAUCAAUAGACUGGCUUCCUCGCUUUCAUUUCUAUACAAAGCAUCACUCUUCUCUUCUGAAAUAUUUUCGUGAAAACUAUCAUGACUGGCUACCAAUCUGGAUCUAUCGCUUUCUUUUUGGGAAAUGGGUUUUGGAUGUGCAGAGGUUAUCUCCUUCCUUCCUUGCUCUGGUUAAGAAAUCUGUUUGCAGCUGGAUAUACCUCUGGAUAGAGGACAACAGUGUUGUGGAGUUCAUUGGAAAGAGAUUCAUUGUAGGAUGUGGGUGCUACCUUGGUCAUCUGUCAAUGGGGGUUUGAUGAUGAAGCAAAUCACCUAUUGAUGCACAUGAACUUGCCUGCUGUCAGAUGGGUUGGUGGUGUAGAGUUGGAACUAAUUGCAAUUGCUACAGGCCCUUGUUUAAAGCUUUGGUUGCCUUGUGUUCAGAAUCACAAUGUUGCAACAUCACUUGUUUGCCACAAAAAUAUGUUUCAUAAACGCUUCAAAAGGAUUCACUACAGCUUCAACAUCGCUUUACUAAAGCUUCCUAAGUUUUAUUUUAUUUUUACUAAGAAGUCUUAAUUACUAUUU